rnacentral:rRNA from 1 species
UGCAAGUCGAGCGCCCCGCAAGGGGAGCGGCAGACGGGUGAGUAACGCGUGGGAAUCUACCCAUCUCUACGGAACAACUCCGGGAAACUGGAGCUAAUACCGUAUACGUCCUUCGGGAGAAAGAUUUAUCGGGNAUGGAUGAGCCCGCGUUGGAUUAGCUAGUUGGUGGGGUAAUGGCCUACCAAGGCGACGAUCCAUAGCUGGUCUGAGAGGAUGAUCAGCCACACUGGGACUGAGACACGGCCCAGACUCCUACGG